rnacentral:tRNA from 1 species
CGGCGUGUGGCGCAGCCUGGUAGCGCACCUGCUUCGGGAGCAGGGGGUCGGAGGUUCGAAUCCUCUCACGCCGACCA